rnacentral:misc_RNA from 1 species
CACUAUACUCCAAUAAUCUUCUCCCACCCUCAGUAUACAUAAGUUGUUAAUUGUUAUAAAAAAAUUAAAAAAGCUUCGUAAUAAUGUAUUUCCAACGAUACACCAGGUUUGGCAACAGUGGGUGCGCGACUGCUCAUGUCAAAGCCGGCGCGCAUGCGCGGCGGCGCUGGCGUCGCUCACUGCUUUGGACAGCUUCGCGACACUGGCAGAUGCGCUUGCGCAGGCUGUCAUGAGCGAGACGGAGCCAGCGGACUGGCGGGAGCUGAGCGCGCAGUGGGG